GGUCAAGUGGCUCAGUUGGGUAGAGGCUUGGCUGUGGCCGACAAGACCAGGGUUCGACCCCCGGCAAUACUA